GCGAGCGAGUGAGCGAGAUAUCGCCAACGUCAGAGCUUUUUAUGUCGUCGUGUGCAUUUCAUUGCCGGGGAGGAAUAGAGUAUUGCCAAUUGCCUAUGUUCUUUAGAUUAGCGGCAUGCACGUAGCCUCCCCAAUCGCAGUGAAUUUACGAUUUGGGAGAAAUUGUAAACAUUCACUCUAUAAUGACGUCAAUUAUCCAACUCCUAAGUGAACGAUUGAAUCGGAUAUCGUUUGGGUAACCUCUGUGCAUCUAUUUGGAGAGUGAGCAAUAGAUUUUAAUCAACAUCAAGUACCUGACAAUAACAAGGCCAGAGUUCACCAAAAUUUUUGGGGACUUUGGCCAGGUAUUAUCCUUGAGUCGUCGAACACUUGUUUGUUGAUAAGUGGAUGCCACCGCGUGGAGACCCAGAUCAUCAGAGCCGUGCUGUUGAUCACGUUGUAUUCCAUUGGACGUCAAUUGGAAAAAUUACAGACCUAAUCAGUUGGUAGGGGAACGCGUGAUGCCAAUUGUCCCUUAGAGGGUAAAUGUAUUCAAUUUAUGAUGCGUCAUAGCAUAUAUGAUAUUGUUAUUAGAGCGUGCCCAAGAUAAGAUAACCUCCUAGUCAUUAAAAUCGAAGGAAAAACCUUAAUCCCCUUUUAGAUUAAAGCUAAUUAC
rnacentral:sRNA from 1 species